CAGCACCGCGGGAAUACGAAGGGGGCUAGCGUUGCUCGGAAUUACUGGGCGUAAAGGGAGCGUAGGCGGACAUUUAAGUCAGGGGUGAAAUCCCAGAGCUCAACUCUGGAACUGCCUUUGAUACUGGGUGUCUUGAGUGUGAUGGAGGUAUGUGGAACUCCGAGUGUAGAGGUGAAAUUCGUAGAUAUUCGGAAGAACACCAGUGGCGAAGGCGACAUACUGGAUCAUUACUGACGCUGAGGUUCGAAAGCGUGGGGAGCAAACAGGAUUAGAUACCCGCGUAGUCCCUGUCUCUUAUACA
rnacentral:rRNA from 1 species